UACGUAGGGGGCAAGCGUUGUCCGGAAUUAUUGGGCGUAAAGAGCGCGUAGGCGGUUAUGUAAGACAGGUGUGAAAGCCCCGGGCUUAACCUGGGAAUGGCCGUUGAAACUGGCGAACUGGAGUGUGGCAGAGGGGGGUGGAAUUCCGCGUGUAGCAGUGAAAUGCGUAGAGAUGCGGAGGAACACCGAUGGCGAAGGCAGCCCCCUGGGCUAACACUGACGCUCAGGCACGAAAGCGUGGGGAGCAAACAGG
rnacentral:rRNA from 1 species